CCUACGGGAGGCAGCAGUGGGGAAUAUUGGACAAUGGGCGAAAGCCUGAUCCAGCCAUGCCGCGUGUGUGAAGAAGGCCUUCGGGUUGUAAAGCACUUUCAGUGGGGAAGAAAGCCUUGGGGCUAAUACCCUCGAGGAAGGACAUCACCCACAGAAGAAGCACCGGCUAACUCCGUGCCAGCAGCCGCGGUAAUACGGAGGGUGCGAGCGUUAAUCGGAAUUACUGGGCGUAAAGCGCGCGUAGGCGGUCUGAUAAGCCGGUUGUGAAAGCCCCGGGCUCAACCUGGGAACGGCAUCCGGAACUGUCAGGCUAGAGUGCAGGAGAGGAAGGUGGAAUUCCCGGUGUAGCGGUGAAAUGCGUAGAGAUCGGGAGGAAUACCAGUGGCGAAGGCGGCCUUCUGGACUGACACUGACGCUGAGGUGCGAAAGCGUGGGUAGCAAACAGGAUUAGAUACCCUGGUAGUC
rnacentral:rRNA from 1 species